GACGAACGCUGGCGGCGUGCUUAACACAUGCAAGUCGAACGCUGAAGCUCAGCUUUUGUUGGGUGGAUGAGUGGCGAACGGGUGAGUAACACGUGAGUAACCUGCCUCCUUCUUUGGGAUAACGCCCGGAAACGGGUGCUAAUGCUGGAUAUUCACUGGUCUUCGCAUGGGGGUUGGUGGAAAGGGUUUUUCUGGUGGGGGAUGGGCUCGCGGCCUAUCAGCUUGUUGGUGGGGUGAUGGCCUACCAAGGCUUUGACGGGUAGCCGGCCCGGGAGGGUGACCGGUCACAUUGGGACGGGGAUACGGCCCAGACUCCGACGGGAGGCAGCAGUGGGGAAUAUUGCACAAUGGGCGCAAGCCUGAUGCAGCGACGCCGCGUGAGGGAUGGAGGCCUUCGGGUUGUGAACCUCUUUCGCUCAUGGUCAAGCCGCAACAAUGGUUGUGGUGAGGGUAGUGGGUAAAGAAGCGCCGGCUAACUACGUG
rnacentral:rRNA from 1 species